rnacentral:rRNA from 1 species
ACAGUCACACGAGUUUGAUCAUGGCUCAGAACGAACGCUGGCGGCAGGCUUAACACAUGCAAGUCGAACGGUUGUAGCAAUACAGCAGUGGCAGACGGGUGAGUAACACGUGGGAACCUUCCUAGGGGUACGGAACAACUCAGGGAAACUUGAGCUAAUACCGUAUACGUCCGUGAGGAGAAAGAUUUAUCGCCCUUAGACGGGCCCGCGUCGGAUUAGCUAGUUGGUGGGUAACGGCCUACCAAGGCGACGAUCCGUAGCUGAUCUUAGAGGAUGAUCAGCCACACUGGGACUGAGACACGGCCCAGACUCCUACGGGAGGCAGCAGUGGGGAAUCUUGGACAAUGGGCGCAAGCCUGAUCCAGCCAUGCCGCGUGAGUGAAGAAGGUCUUCGGAUUGUAAAGCUCUUUUGCCAGGGACGAUAAUGACGGUACCUGGAGAAUAAGCCCCGGCAAACUUCGUG